rnacentral:rRNA from 1 species
GCUAAUAGUUUCUACUUCUCUUUUGAGUAGAAAUUUCUUCUUAGAGGGACUGGUGACUCUUAGUCACACGAGAUUGAGCAAUAACAGGUCUGUGAUGCCCUUAGAUGUUCUGGGCCGCACACGCGCUACACUGAAUAGAUCAGCGUGUCACCCUUCCCGAAAGGGACGGGUAAACGCUUGAACCCUAUUCGUGGUAGGGAUCGGGGCUUGCAAUUGUUCCCCGUGAACCAGGAAUUCCCAGUAGGCGCAAGUCAUAAGCUUGCGUCGAUUACGUCCCUGCCCUUUGUACACACCGCCCGUCGCUACUACCGAUUGAACAUUUUAGUGAGGUCCUCGGACUGUGAGCCAGGCGGGUCGCCCUGCCUGGUCUACGGGAAGACGACCAAACUGUAGUGUUUAGAGGAAGUAAAAGUCGUAACAAGGUAUCCCGUAGGUGAA